rnacentral:ncRNA from 1 species
CAUCCGGGACGACCCGGAUGGCGCAUUCGGCCUAAUCCGGGACGACCUGG